GACUCGAUAGCUCAACAGGUAGAGCGGCGGUCUAGAUACCCGAAGAUGCGAGUUCAAAUCCCGCUCGAGCCA